GACAGCAGUCGCCGCGGUAAUACGGAGGGUGCAAGCGUUAAUCGGAAUUACUGGGCGUAAAGCGCACGCAGGCGGUCUGACAAGUCAGAUGUGAAAUCCCCGGGCUUAACCUGGGAACUGCAUUUGAAACUGUCAGGCUGGAGUCUUGUAGAGGGGGGUAGAAUUCCAGGUGUAGCGGUGAAAUGCGUAGAGAUCUGGAGGAAUACCGGUGGCGAAGGCGGCCCCCUGGACAAAGACUGACGCUCAGGUGCGAAAGCGUGGGGAGCAAACAGGAUUAGAUACCCCGGUAGUCCCUGUCUCUUAUAC
rnacentral:rRNA from 1 species